GGAGAUGGGUCAUAGCUCAGCAGUAGAGCACCUGCCUUGAAUGCAGAAGGUCCCAGAGUCAAUCCCCAGUGGCAUUUCCA